rnacentral:rRNA from 1 species
AAUAUUGCACAAUGGGGGAAACCCUGAUGCAGCGACGCCGCGUGAGCGAAGAAGGCCUUCGGGUCGUAAAGCUCUGUCCUAAGGGAAGAAACGGACGGUACCUUAGGAGGAAGCCCCGGCUAACUACGUGCCAUCAGCCGCGGUAAUACGUAGGGGGCGAGCGUUAUCCGGAAUUAUUGGGCGUAAAGGGUGCGUAGGCGGCCUUUUAAGUCAGAUGUGAAAGGCUACGGCUUAACCGUAGUUAGCAUUUGAAACUAGAAGGCUUGAGUAUCGGAGAGGGUAGUGGAAUUCCAAGUGUAGCGGUGAAAUGCGUAGAUAUUUGGAGGAACACCAGUGGCGAAGGCGACUACCUGGACGAACACUGACGCUGAGGCACGAAAGCUAGGGGAGCGAACA